rnacentral:rRNA from 1 species
GUGGGGAAUUUUGGACAAUGGGCGCAAGCCUGAUCCAGCCAUGCCGCGUGCAGGAUGAAGGCCUUCGGGUUGUAAACUGCUUUUGUACGGAACGAAACGGUCCUGGUUAAUACCUGGGGCUAAUGACGGUACCGUAAGAAUAAGCACCGGCUAACUACGUGCCAGCAGCCGCGGUAAUACGUAGGGUGCGAGCGUUAAUCGGAAUUACUGGGCGUAAAGCGUGCGCAGGCGGUGCUGUAAGACAGGCGUGAAAUCCCCGGGCUCAACCUGGGAACUGCCUUUGUGACUGCAUAGCUGGAGUGCGGCAGAGGGGGAUGGAAUUCCGCGUGUAGCAGUGAAAUGCGUAGAUAUGCGGAGGAACACCGAUGGCGAAGGCAAUCCCCUGGGCCUGCACUGACGCUCAUGCACGAAAGCGUGGGGAGCAAACAGGAUUAGAAACCCCUGUAGUCC